UACGGGGGGGGCAAGCGUUGUUCGGAAUUACUGGGCGUAAAGGGCUCGUAGGCGGCCAACUAAGUCAUACGUGAAAUCCCUCGGCUUAACCGGGGAACUGCGUUUGAUACUGGAUGGCUUGAGUUCGGGAGAGGGAUGCGGAAUUCCAGGUGUAGCGGUGAAAUGCGUAGAUAUCAGGAGGAACACCGGUGGCGAAGGCGGCUUUCUGGACAGUAACUGACGCUGAGGCGCGAAAGCUAGGGGAGCAAACAGG
rnacentral:rRNA from 1 species